UUACUUAGACAGGGCUUUAGAUAUUUUGAAAUUGGCCUCAGGUGUGCACCCACAAUCCCCCUUUUUUUGUAUUUGUAUUUGUUGGAAGCUGUGGCUAAGCUUUAUGUGGUUUGUUGCACCCUCAUCUCCACCCUUUAGAUUUUUGGUGGUCCUAUUGUCCUUUUAAAAUUGUGCCUUGGUUUGUGCAAUCUCUCUCUCUUAAAAACCGCAAAUGCUAGCGGCAUGGGAGGAUCUAGCCAUGAAAAAAACAACGUCCCAUGAGACACUUCUGCACAGACACACACAUUACUUCCAUCAUGAUUCCUCAUUUAGUUUCCCUUUCACAUACAUCCACACUAUAUACAACCCAUAAUGAUUCCACAAACACAUACACACACACAUUCCCCUUUCACCACUAUACACACUCCCACACUCCACAAAUACACACCAAUGUGUAACUGCACCUAUCGUACCACUUUGUUUUUAAUCACACCCUAUUAUCACAUUUUUUCAAAAAUGGGCGUUGGUUUGGACAGUCUCUCCCUCUUAAAAGCCACAUCAGCAAUUGGUGGGGGAGGAUUUAGCUCACAGUUUGAAACCAAGGAACAGGAGAUGUUCAUACAAAGUAAUUCUAUUAAGCAGAGAGGCAUGGAUUCGCAGCACAUUUCGCUGGGCGCAAAUGAUUUUGCAAAACUGCCUCGAAAAUUCACCAGCGGAAAAUCCGUGUAAGGAAUCAUCCCUCUGACAAGAUGUCCAGCAGAAUCCCUACUGUUCAUGAGGCCCAUGGAGAAAGUAAACUGCCUUAAUCCAAAAAGGUUGAUAGACAACUUUCAUGCUCUUUGUUGUUAAAUGGCAGUGACCAGUAGAUUGACAAGAGCGUCCGGGCCUUUGAGCGGUGAUUCCUCUGGAAGCUGGGACCAUAGGCCUCAAAAAUAAAUACAUCAAAAUGAAGAAAGCCUUUGAUUAACUUCUCAGACAGAAAAGAUCCAUCUUCUAACAAAACUUUAUCGAAAAAUUAAUUGUUCAUUGUUAUUGUUAAUAAUUCACUUAAAAAAAGAAAUAAAACAAUCAGACCUU